rnacentral:SRP_RNA from 1 species
GCCUGACGUGGUGGCGGGUGCCUGUAAUCGCAGCUACUUGGGAGGCUGAGGCAGGAGAAUCGCUUGAACUCAGGAGGUGAAGGUUGCAGUGAGCUCAGAUGGUGCCACUGAACUCCAGCCUGGGCGACAAGAGCGAAACUCCAACUCAAAAAAUAAAUAAAUAAAAUAUAGAUAGAUAGAUAGAUAGAUAGAUAGAUAGAUAGAUAGAUAGACAGUGACCUGCCAGGAGCAGGGGACCACCAGGUUGCCUAAGGAGGGGUGAACUGUCCCAGGAUGGAAAUGAAACAGGUCAAACCUCCUGUGUUGAUCAAUAGUGGGAGAGCACCUGUGAAUAACCACUGCACUCCAGCCUGGGCAACAUAGUGAGAACCUAUCUCUA